rnacentral:tRNA from 1 species
AGUUCAGCCUGGUUAGAAUGCCUGCCUGUCACGCAGGAGGUCACGGGUUCGAGUCCCGUA